rnacentral:misc_RNA from 1 species
GCAUAUGACUACUGGCAGGAUCAACCAGGUAACAUUCCUCUUCGACAUGGCCAAACACGCUGGGACGUGCCAUACGUGAAAGGCAGUCAUGUAAGAGAAGCGAGAACGCUCAAUGAGGGCAGUAAAAGGAUCAUAAGAACCCAUGCCCACUUUGGCUUCCAUAUCCAAGAGACCAAGCCACCCUCAACGGGCCAAACAAUCAACAAAUGCUCAUUGACUAUAUGGAUCAAAGAGGGUGCUACAUGGUUCAUCCAACAUUGCGAGUGCAACGCUUGAUGAAAAAGGUACAUUUUUUUUAUCAAAACUAUGCCGUUGAUCAGGUAUGCAACACAUGAAACCCACAUAUACGAUCAAGACGAUACAAGCCUUGCCGUAAAACUGAAAAGGAAUGUACGCGUAGCCGUGCCUGCUCAAGCAAGAGCAUCGCUGUCGC